CAAUGAACAUAUUUUAAUUAAAUAAUUUAAAUUUUUUGUGAUUGCACAAUAAGUCUCCUAAACGGAGAAAUGUUGAAGACGUACUGUUUGAAGUUAAAAAAAUGUAAAUGGGCCUCAACUAAAGAUACCAGGAGGUAGAAUACUCCAACAACGAACAGGAGAAGAUGUGUACCUAUAUGAUGCACCAGAGCACUAGAAUGAUUACAAGCAGGCAUGCAGAGUUAAAUUACCCUUCAUAUUUGGGAGUGAGAUGCUAAAUAUACCAAAUAGCAAUCAUUGCACUCUAACAAGAGUACCCUUAACCCUUUCAGUUCACCUCAAUAUAGAUACGUACAGGUUUUCUUAAUUCAUAAGUUAAUAUUAAGUAAUUAGACCUUAGUUAGAUAUAAGUAUAAAAUAUUUUUUUGUUACCGG